rnacentral:rRNA from 1 species
GACUGCGGAGGGUCAUUA